rnacentral:rRNA from 1 species
GACGAACGCUGGCGGCGUGCUUAACACAUGCAAGUCGAACGGAAAGGCCCUGCUUUUGUGGGGUGCUCGAGUGGCGAACGGGUGAGUAACACGUGAGUAACCUGCCCUUGACUUUGGGAUAACUUCAGGAAACUGGGGCUAAUACCGGAUAGGAGCUCCUGCUGCAUGGUGGGGGUUGGAAAGUUUCGGCGGUUGGGGAUGGACUCGCGGCUUAUCAGCUUGUUGGUGGGGUAGUGGCUUACCAAGGCUUUGACGGGUAGCCGGCCUGAGAGGGUGACCGGCCACAUUGGGACUGAGAUACGCACCAGACUCCUACGGGAGGCAGCAGGGGGGAAUAUUGCACAAUGGGCGGAAGCCUGAUGCAGCAACGCCGCGUGCGGGAUGACGGCCUUCGGGUUGUAAACCGCUUUCGCCUGUGACGAAGCGUGAGUGACGGUAAUGGGUAAAGAAGCACCGGCUAACUACGUG